AUAUACUUUUUUGCCAAAGUGUUAUUUUUUACGAUAUCAUUUGGUGAGUGAAUAACUUGACAUUUCUCCAUUGAUUUCUCACAUUUCCUUUGUCUUUUAAUUUACUAAUUUACAUGUUUUGUCAGUACUUCUGCCAGUGUUAUAGUUGCAUAAUAGUUAAUAAUAGUAGUUUUAAAAUAUAUUUUCUGUCUGGCAAAGCAAAAGAUGUCCCAUACUUUUGUGAACAUUUUCCCCAGUUCUUUCUUGAAAUUAAAUGUAUUUAAUAACAGGUAAUAUAUGUACUUAAAUUAAACUCAAAUCAUAGAAUACAGUAUACAUAUUUAAUGAAUGUUACUAGUUUCUUGUAUAUGCAUCUAUAGAUAUUUUAUACAUAAAUUAGCAUAAUAAAAAAUUUAUACAUAAAUUAGCCUGGUAGGCUCAAGCGAUUGUCCUACCUCAGUCUCCUGAGUAGCUGGGAUACAGGUGCGCCCAGAGCUGCUGCUGCCAUGAGGCGUGGGUGUUCGCAUCCUUCAACAUUCUAAUGACAAGAGCAAUUCCGCUGUGGAGCAUUUGUGAAUCCCAAUGUCCGCGUGUACCCAAGACCAAGUCAGAAUCUCUGGAGGAGGAACUGAGACGCGAGUGUUUUUCCUGUUUUAAAAAUGUAUAUAUACAAAUGGUAACAAACUAUGCACAGUCAUUGUAUAUGCUGCUUUUUCACCUAACUUUAUAUCUUCGAGCUCAUUUCAUUUUAAUAUGAACAACUUCCUCAUUCUUUUUUACAACCGCAUAGUAUACCAAUGAAUGAAUACCACAAUUUGUUGAACAAUUUCCUGUUGAUGGUUAUUUAGGUCAUUGCCAUUUUCUCAUGUAAUAACAAUACAUAAAAAAUAAUUUUGUACAUAUACUUUCUAACAUAGAUACAGAAAUACCUGUCAGAUUAAUUCCUAAAGAGGAACUGCUAGUCUAAAAGGCAUGUGCAUUUAUAAUUUUUAAAUGUUGCCAAAUUGCUCUCCAUAGAGGCUGUAUCAAUAUAUAAUAUUGCGAAACAAUAAAAAAUACAUAUAUGUAUAUAGUGGUCUCUGACCCUGGUUCCUGACACAGAGCUCCUAAAACGCUUGUAAUUUCUGAAGUGAAGGGUACUUGGAGCAUCUUGGUUUUAAUGAAAUGACUGUUGGUGAGCUCUUAGAUGGCGGCUGAUCUUGAGGAAGACCAAGCCAUGAUUAGAAGCUUGGAACUUUCAGCCCCACCCUACCCUAUCCUCAGGGAAGGGGAGAGGAGCUGGAGAUUGUUAAUAAUAAAUCAUGCCUACGUGGUGAAGCCUCCAUAAAAGUCUCUGAAGUACAGGGUUGUGAAGUAUAGGGUUUGGAGAACUUCUGGGUGGGUGAAUACAUCUGCGUGAUGGGAAGGUGGUGCACUCCAACUCCACUGGGACAGAAGCUCCUGUGCCUGUCCUGCUUUCGGACCUUGCCCUAUGUAUCUCUUCCUCUGGCCGUCCAACUGUAUCCUUAUCAGAUCCUUUGUUAUAUAAUAAACUGGUCAACGUAAGUGUUUCCAUGAGUUCUAUGAGUCACUGUAGCAAAUGAUCAAACCUGGGGAGGGGGUUGUGACAACCCCCAAUUUGCCUGCAGGGUGGUUGGAGUGCAGUGGCGCGAACAUGGCUCACUGGAGUCUCAAACUUCCAGGGACGAGGGGUCCUCCCCGCUCAGCCUCGUGAGUAUUUGGGACCACAGCGUCUCACUCUUCCACCCAGGCAGGAGUGGAGCGGUGCCAUCUCGGCUCACUGCAGCCUCAGCCUGGUAGGCUCAAGCGAUUGUCCUACCUCAGUCUCCUGAGUAGCUGGGAUACAGGUGCGCCCAGAGCUGCUGCUGCCAUGAGGCGUGGGUGUUCGCAUCCUUCAACAUUCUGAUGACAAGAACAAUUCCGCUAUGGAGCAUUUGUGAAUCCCAAUGUCCGCGUGUACCCAAGACCAAGUCAGAAUCUCUGGAGGAGGAACUGAGACGCGAUUGUUUUCUAAUGCUCCUAAAUGAUUCAGAUGGAUAGCCCAGAGCAACCUCCUCAGCAUCUUUGAUUGAGAAUCUUCCCAACUGUCAAGGCCCAAGUUAAAUAUGACCUACCCCAUGAAGAGUUCCUGGCUGUCCCUUCAGAGGCUCUCUCUGCCUCCUGUAGCAGCAUGGCCAUUGUGUAAGAGAAGCCAUGUCUUUUCCUGACAGAGAGGACUAAGAAAUGCAGUGCUAUAAUAGAUUGGACUUUGGACUGUCUUCUGUGAGGAGUAGUGGAAGAUCCUCCACAGGAAGAAGGGAACAAAGGGAUAUUUAACGGCCAGAAGAGUGAACUGUGGUGGAGACUGUUACUGCUAACCAAGUUGGCUCACCAUGCCCUCGUCUAAGAUGCUGUCCAGUAAUUUUCCUUUCUUGUAAUGUCUUUCUGAUCUUUAGGUAUCAAUGUUUUGUGGGCCUUAUAAAAUGAGUUUGAAUGUUUUCUUUCUUCUAUUUUCUGGAGGCCAGUAACACUUCUGCAGGCCAGUAUUAUUUAUCCCUUAAAUUUUUGUGAAGCCAUCUGGGUUUUCUUUGUGGAAAGAGUUUUAAAUUCAGAUUUGAUUUCUUUGGUAGAUACAGGGCUAUUGGUAUUUUAAAAUUUCUUCUUCUGGCAAUUUUGACAAAUUGUAUUUUAAGAAACUUAUAUGUUUCACUUAUAUUUUCUAAUUUAUUAUCAUAAAUAUUGGCAUAUAGACUGCUGAUUUAUUGGCAUAAAGUUGUUUCUAACAUCCUCUAAUUAUCUUUUUAAUGUCUGUAAGGCCAGUAGUGAUAUUCUCUUUUUCAAACCUAGUUUUUGUAUUUAUGUUUUUUUUCUCUUUUGCUCUCCCUUAA